rnacentral:rRNA from 1 species
CACGUAGGGCGCAAGCGUUGUCCGGAAUUAUUGGGCGUAAAGAGCUCGUAGGCGGUCUGUGCGUCCGCUGUGAAAACUCGGGGCUUAACCCCGAGCCUGCAGUGGAUACGGGCAGACUAGAGGUAGGUAGGGGAGAAUGGAAUUCCCGGUGUAGCGGUGAAAUGCGCAGAUAUCAGGAGGAACACCAAUGGCGAAGGCAGCACUCUGGGACGGUACUGACGCUGAGACGCGAAAGCGUGGGGAGCA